AUUGAACGCUGGCGGCAGGCCUAACACAUGCAAGUCGAGCGGCAGCGGGAAAGUAGCUUGCUACUUUUGCCGGCGAGCGGCGGACGGGUGAGUAAUGCCUGGGGAUCUGCCCAGUCGAGGGGGAUAACAGUUGGAAACGGCUGCUAAUACCGCAUACGCCCUACGGGGGAAAGCAGGGGACCUUCGGGCCUUGCGCGAUUGGAUGAACCCAGGUGGGAUUAGCUAGUUGGUGGGGUAAUGGCUCACCAAGGCGACGAUCCCUAGCUGGUCUGAGAGGAUGAUCAGCCACACUGGAACUGAGACACGGUCCAGACUCCUACGGGAGGCAGCAGUGGGGAAUAUUGCACAAUGGGGGAAACCCUGAUGCAGCCAUGCCGCGUGUGUGAAGAAGGCCUUCGGGUUGUAAAGCACUUUCAGCGAGGAGGAAAGGUUGAUGCCUAAUACGCAUCAGCUGUGACGUUACUCGCAGAAGAAGCACCGGCUA
rnacentral:rRNA from 1 species